rnacentral:sRNA from 1 species
UGGACUUGGACUUGGAGCUUGGGGCUUGGUUAAAAAGCCGCCGCUCGCCGGCAAAUCAGUUCUGCUGCGAUCGCGCCACUGCGCACUACGCAACGCUUGGGGAAUCCAGAUAUCUGCGACAAUUCGGCGAUUUCGCUUUCAGUCAAAUGCGGCACUAAAAUGUAAAUUCAAC